GAUGAAGAACGUAGCGAAAUGCGAUAAGUAAUGUGAAUUGCAGAAUUCAGUGAAUCAUCGAAUCUUUGAACGCACAUUGCGCCCGCCAGUAUUCUGGCGGGCAUGCCUGUUCGAGCGUCAUUUCAACCAUCAAGCCCUGCUUGCGUUGGGGUCCUGCGGCUGCCCGCAGGCCCUGAAAACCAGUGGCGGGCUCGCUAGUCACACCGAGCGCAGUAAUACAUCUCGCUUUGGGCGUGCGGCGGGUUCUUGCCGUUAAACACCCCCUUUUUACCAAGGUUGACCUCGGAUCAGGUAAGAAUACCCGCUGAACUUAAGCAUAUCAAUAAGCGGAGGA
rnacentral:misc_RNA from 1 species